rnacentral:lncRNA from 1 species
GCUUCCCCACUACUCCCCUCGCCUGCCGCCGCCACCCACCUUCGCCGGCCUUGCCUCGCCUCCUGUAACCACGCCGCCGCCUCCCCGCCUGCUCUCGACCUGCUUCGCUGGCGCUCUGGCUAUCGGCGCCGCGCGGGACGAGCAGCGGUGGAGAGCCGCACGGCCGCGUAGUCCGUAGGAGCUGCCGCAGCGGUCCCGCCCUAAGAUCGGCGAACCGGGAGGCGAGCUCCCACAUUUAUCUAUCGAUCCCAGUAGGCUCAAUCCCGGUAGAUCUUUACCUUGAACGCAUGUUUUCGGCUGUUGUUUUUCUUGUGCGUACUCGCGUUCCACUUAGCAUGUAAUUCCUCAGCUUAUGUAGUUUUGUUGUGGUUGAUUGACGUCCCUGUGAAGAUGAAAUUCAGGUCCAAAGACGAUUGGUGACUGGUUUUAGCCUCAAGCCAUCUCGUCUUGCAGUUUUGGUGAGCUGGUGGCUUGGGGCUAAAACCAUUGUCGAGGGUCGUCGGUGAUGGCCAAAUUAGCUAUGAGAUCUGAGGGAUACCGGCAAUAUGGCUACAUAAUACUUCCUUCUCCUUUUGUUUCUACUAUACAUCAGAUUGUAGCAUUGAGUGUAUGAUUGCCCUGUUGAGUAGCUUUAUCUGUUUUAUCUAACUCAAGUAGCAGUCAGUGUCCCAAUGAAGAAAAAAUUACAGUACCAAAGAUGAAUGGUCGAUUAGUUUUAGCUUCAAGCCAUGCUAGUAUAUUCUUUGUACCUGUGGCUUGUGGCUAAAACUAGUUUGCUUGUAAUUUCAUCCGUGAUGGCCAUAGCUAUGAGAUCCGAGGGAUGCUUACUAUUUGAGCCACGUAGCCUGUUUCUGCUUUGGUCAACCUUAAUUGCUCUUCUAGGUAUAAUAUGAAUUAUGUGUCUGGUUUUUGAGACUGCGAUCUGUUCUUGAUUUAGAUGGAAGUGAGGAUCCUUUCCCCAAAUGAUCGACUAUGAUUAUACUGUGCGCAAAUGUAAUCCUUUAUCAGAGGAUUCCAAGCCAGAAAUCUGAUCCAUCCCGUCCAGCCUCUAUCCCCUUUUCUCUUCAAUACUUGACCUUUGUUUUUCUGAUUUGUUCUGUAAAUUGAAUGGAAGUGAGGAUCCUUUCCCCAAAUGAUCGACUAUGAUUAUACUGUGCGCAACUGCAAUCCUUUAUCAGAGGAUUCCAAGCCAGAAAUCUGAUCCAUCUUCGUUAUCUUUGCCUCCUUGUUUUUUAGUUUUGUUUCUUUUUCACUAAGAAAUCCGAAUUGACUUGGCCUUUUUAACUAUACUGUGCACAAAUGUAAUCCUUUAUCACAGGAUUCUAAACCAGGGAUCUGUGCACCUUGCUUUAUUUUGUUUUAUUUUCUGAUUUGGCUUUGUUUCUUUUUUUUCGAAGUUGACUGGAAGUGAGGAUCCUUUCCCCAAAUGAUCGACAGUGAUUAUACUGCGCGUAACUGUAAUCCUUUAUCAGAGGAUUCCAAGCCAGAAAUCUGAUCCAUCUCGCUCAACAAACUCGACCCCCUUUUCUCUUUUGGUAUAUUGAUUUUUUUUGUUCUGAUCUGUAAAUGGAAUGGGAGUGAAGAUCCUUCUCCUAAGCCAGAAAUCUUAUGUAACAUAUUAACUCCUUUGAUUGAGCUUUGUUUAAGAGUUAUCUUGUGAUCACUGUCAUUUUCUUAUUGUCUUUGUUUUCUAGUGAUCUGGUCUGAAAUCUUUCUCAAUGAAGAGAGUACAAGCAGACGGGCGGUCUGAACUGAUGUCAUGUUGAUAUGUCUGCAUCAUCUGUGCUUACCCUUGUGGAUAGCAUCUGAGAGAAAACAAGAUCUUUCAUUUUCAACAAUAGGUUUUUGUUCUCUAAUUCUCAAAUUUGUGCCAUAGCUUGUAUUCUUCCUAGUAGUUAGAUGUGGUUCAGUUUCUUACUUGACUCCAAGCUCCAAUACGAUGGGGACAAAGCGAUUGCGAUGGUUUACUUAUUAACCCUUUGCAGUGUUUGCCAUUGCUCUUGAGUCAAAUAUUCUGACCGAGAUUCUCAGUUUUGUACAAUCUUCAAAUUCUUUUGAUUCUUCCUGCUUGUAUAUCCUUAUACUAUCAAUGAAAAGUUCCAUGUGUGAAUAAAAUGAAACUCUGCUUAUUAUCUAAUGAUACCUUUUAUUAAUGCUGUCCAUUUGUCUCUGGUAUUUCCAUUGCAAAUUUUAUCAAUCUUCUUGUGCGGCAUCGGGUGGCAAAUGAGGUGAAAUAUUGUAUGCUAAACACUGAAUCUUUGAUAUGUUUACAAAACUCCGCUUAUUAUCUGAUGCCACAUCAGCUUUGAACCACAUUUUCUAGUUCUCUUUUCUGCACAGUUUCUUUAUCAUUCCUGUGAAUUUCAUUUUGUUGAUGGCAGUGAUUUGAAUCUUACCCGCGCUUCUGAUUAAUCCAUGAAGUACAAGGGAAAACAUGGUUGAAUUUCUUAAUAUGAGCCAUACAAUAGUAAAAUCUUGUUCUCUCUUCUAGAUUUUGUGUGUUCUUGUUUUACCAUGGCUGUGAUGAUUAACAGCUUCAGCAAACAUGCCAGUUCUGCUUCUGAGAAUUCAUGACUGAAAAAUCUGUUAACAAGAUCUGAGCCAUUUUGCACGUAGAAAAGUUAUUUUCUCCCAUUGUUGAUACCUGAAAAUUAAUGAUUAUUACCUUUCAUACAUUCUUUAUCUUGGUGUCUAGCAUGUAAUUUGUUCGGAGACUCCAUUUGAAUUGCCAAUGAUGCUACACCCAACAUUUGGAGGUGCAGAUGGCUCCAGGAUCCUGUUUACAGGAUGAACCUACCUGGAGGCGCUGUAUCCACAUGACAUUCAUGGGCAAGUCUGAGGUUCUUCAUGAUCACCUCAAACUUUUCUUGAUGUUUUCAAGUUGACUUGUGCUUUUUUACUUGGUAAAAUAAGUGGUUGUUUAUUUAUCUUUGUCGAGUUUAACUAUCCUCUCACCAAGUACCUCUGAUUUGCGGAAGAGGCUGAAAAACUCGCAGAUGGUGUGUUGUCAUCAGCUUCGUCUCUUGGUCCUACGAGAUGGGAGUUAAAUAACGACACCAGAUUAACUCGUUUACCGCCGAAUCAACUGUUCAGCAGAAGUAACAAACUCAUGUUUGACACAACUGAUGGAAUAAAAACCAGAAACAUAAAUAAAAAUCUCAUGGAAUUUUAAAAGCUGGGUGUACUAGUGCCCUGUUGAGUAGCUUUGUUUGUGGUAUCUAGCUUGAGCAGCAUAUUAUGGAUGAAGAAUAGUUUUAGCUUAAACCCAUUGUAGUCCUUAUUUCUUUUGAUUUGUGGCUUGUGGUUGAAACUAGUUCACUGUUAGUUUCAUCUGUGAUGGCCAAUAGGCCAAUAGCUAUGAGAUCCAAGGGAGUUGAUUUGGCUCUGCAACUCUUCUGUUAUAUUUUGAUAUAUAUUCACUGGAAUGUGGUUGGCCAUCGAUAUGUCAGACCUUCUGUUGUCUAGCGAGGUUUUCCUUCUCCACGUAAUAACAUUUUCAGAUUAGAAUAUAUUAGUUUGCUUUUGUAUUAUCCUCUUGAAUAAGACUUGUCAACACAUGGUCGCCUUUGAGAGAACCUGGUGGAUUUUGUCUUCCAUGCUGGUUCCGUUGCGGGCGUACACUGAUCUAGAGCCUCCACCGUGUCUCACCCUCCACAUCUAUUGCUGGGUGUCGGAUUGGUUCUUGAACAUUUUGAAUCUAAUCUUUGUUUUUUGUUGUACGGCUGCUGUUUUUCAUUUUUGUCCGUGGCCUUCAUAAUCCCGGAUUAACUUGCUUAGCUGUUCUUCUGAUUCAUGGGAGGCCAAGACCGAUGUCUGGGAGUUUCGCUGAUAGCGCCUUCUUUACUAGUGGAGGUGCUUCAUUAGUAACUCGCCACACAGAAAAAAUGAUAGAUUUUCUUUUGUUCUGUUUGUUCAUGUGUUGUUUGAUUCGGGGAGCUCUGUCCCAUUGUCUGGCCGCCAUUCUCUUGGUGGAUCCGAGUUUACAAAGCUCCCGAGAGGUAUUCAGGUGGCGCUUAGAGCACAAAUCCGUCUGAUGGAUCUUGGGUUACGCUCGCCCCCAAAUUCCAGUUUAAUCUUUUUUCAUGCUUUCUUUUGUCUUGUAUAAUUCAAGUUCUUGUUGCAUCACUUUAGCGUUUUGAACCUUUUGUGGUGCAGUGAUUAUAAAACAUUCCUCGUACUGAUGGGAGAUCCCUGUGAAUGACUCCUAUACACCCAUAGAAUCUGAGCACCAACAAAUCAUACUUGUUUUAUUGGAUUCUUACUUUGUUUUCUUUUUAAUAAGCUGUUCAUUGUUAUGUUCAUCUGAUCCUUCUCUUUCAUUUCUGUGUUUUGAUUUUGUUCGUUUGUUUUGGAGCACGUAGUUGCGAUGAGGAUAACGAGCUCCCUCUUCUGAAAGCAUUGACGACACCGCUGGCAGAAUCGAACCAAUUAAAUAUUGCCACCACUGAUUAACUCUGUGUCUUUGUACAAUCUUGUCAGUUAUUGACCAUUUGCUUAGUCUUACCUUUCAGUCUGCAAAAUCUGUUUGGAUCAUGAGGAGUUAUUGAUGCAUAAUCCAACACUUGAUCCGAGGGUGGCUUGAGCCGCCCAUGUGAUGUCAUCUUUGCAUCUGAAUCCACCAGAGAUAUUUUUUUCCAUUUGGUCUAGUUUUUGUUUAUCUUGUCAGCAUCAGAGGAUGAAACCUUGAAACAAUCUUAGGACACCUUCUGACACAGUGCUUAUUUUCCUGUGAACGAGAAGUAUUUAUAUUCUGAUGAUACACCCUGUUUCUUUGAAUUUUUUGCCCAAGGAUGUUUAGGGCCCUGUUUUCUAUCUAAAACGCAAUUGGAGCCUAUGAUGAUUAGCUUUAUGUUGGAAUUACCGUCAGAUUCCAAAUGAUGAUAUUUUUGCGGCUUUCUGAGGCUUUAAACAGCUUAGCUCCUCUACUUUUUUUUAUAUUGUUAAACUUUCUUGAUUCAGGUGAAGAUUCUCCGUAUGACACUAUAAACAACAGUUCCUUCUCUACUUCUAGUGUCCUCCUUUGGCCAUAACCUUUGCACUUGGUUUUUUUCAGCCGUGUGUGAUUUUAAAAAGGUCUAUCUUUGAUUGCUCUGUUUUUUUUUGCGUAGUAUCGCCUGUUGCUUCGUCUCUGUUUGCUAUAAACAGUAGCUGAAUAUGCUACGCUUUUGUUUCGCAUCUUGAUAAGAGACUCUACAAUUCUGGUACUAGAAUAUAAUGUCUGUGCUUGAUGAAGACAAACAUGUUAGGUUCCAACUUAAGAUACAAGUCGGCGAUGACUGCAACUGUCCCCAAGAGACUUACUUCCUCCGUUCCCAAAUGUAAGUCUUUGUAGAGAUUUCAUUGGAUGGACUACAUACGGAGCAAAAUGAAUGAAUUCACACUUAAAAUGCAUCUAUAUACAUCCGUAUCUAGUUCAUAGUGGAAUCUCUACAAAGACUUAUAUUUAGGAACGGAGGGAGUACUUGUUAGUAGUAAGCUUACGCUCCUCUGUUUUCUUUGAUACUUUUGAACCUAAAAAUUGGUUCAGUCGGCUGUAGAUUUUUAAAUCACAGGUUUGUGGAGAGUAUACACUUUUUUGCCCCAUUAAUAGAAGCAUGCUCCUCGCUCAUUUAUUGUACUCCUGUUACUCUUGUCUGAUUUCGAGAUUUGUAAACAUGGCUGUGUUCAUCCAUAUAUCGACUUUACCUCCUAUGCUUAAUUUCAAGUUCUUAUGUUAUGUUAUGAUGAUAUAUAUGGAUGUUGGAUGAGAGACUUCUGGAAAUAUAGCAAUUAUUGGUUGGGCGCUGUGACCAUUCAGCCUACUAAAAUAUCACCCAUGGGCUUCCCCAGCACAUGCGAAGUUAACUAACCAAUCGCAAAAUAAUAACAGGGUGCAACUUCUCUGGUCGCCCCUGAGGUUUGUGCUGCAAUGAAUAAAGCUCUGUUUUCUACUUGGAAAACUGUAUGAUCGCAAUGACAGACCCUGCUGGUUCGUAUUCUGUACUGCAAAAUCCAUGUCGAUGCCGUGGAUUGCAGCUUUCAACCAGAGAACUUUCCACGUUGGUCCAAUUUGGUUGUUUGGUUUGGGCCGAGGCAUGGAAAUUCCCAAAUUGUGUUCCACGGGGCCACAAAAAAUCGCAUUGAAUGGAUCUAUGACGGAACGUGAGACGAGGCAAACAAGCCACUGGGCAAUAAACCUACCUGGCGAGUGAGCGGUGGCACAAGAGCGGAGCUGCCGGCGAUUCCUCUGAUGUGGACUUGGUUUAAAUCGUGGUUAUGAGAGUGAGAAGCUGGCUAUUUGGAAAAGGCGAGCUCCUAGAAAUCGAAGGAGUGGGAGUUUGAGUGUUUGACUAGCAACUGCCAAGUGAACAGCGUGCGUACCGAUUUGAUCCCAUUCCGCAUGACUGAUCUAUCUCCAUGAUCUCCUUCUCUCGUUCCUCUCUCAUAGGCCGCUGAGCCCAUCGACCCAUGUAGCCGUUUGCCGCCCUCCCAGCUCGCCGUCCGCCAGCCCCGUCGUAUCUAUUGUCCUCCACUGCCGCCGUUUCAAUCCACCAGGAGCUGUCGAGGACGCGGGAGCAAUGGCCGGCGCUCCCAUCCCUGAGCCUCGAUGACCUCGCUGUCCUCCCCAUCGGUUGCUCGCCGUCCAUCUGCUGCUUUGGCUUUCGUGUGGUUGUCCAUGGUGAUGGGGUAGUGCCGGCGUGCUCGUCCACCUCCAUCCUCCAGUGGCGUUGACGAGCGAUGCAGGAUAACCAGGGGGUUUGAUUGUAAUCUUGUUUUGUUUAUUGAGGUGGUUUGUGCUAAUGUGUAUGACACAUGUGCUUGCCAAACUAGAAGCUGAUGUGCCAAACGGAUGGUUAGCUUCAAGAUUUUACACAGAGAAGCUGCCUGUUGGAUAUUGGCUGGGGAGUUGAGGAGUUUGAGGCUGCAGCGGGUUACCGAACACGCCCUAAGAUUGAUUGGGUACUUGUUUCCGUUGAUGGGAGCUUAACCCCGUUUUGCUCGAAGAGAAGGUUUCAGUUUGAACUAUAUUGGACCCGGCUAGAGGGUUUCAAGCAAGCUGUUAAGGAUGUUUGCGUGUGUGAUGACGUCAUUGUUGACCCCUUCAAGAGGUUGAAUGCUUUGCUUAGGAACACCGCCUCUGCCUUACAAGCUUGGGGACAAAGGAAGAUUGAAAAUAUUAAGAUCUAGAUGGAUCGCCAACUAUGUCAUUCUCAGAUUGGACAGAGCUAUGGAGGCCCGAGUGUUGACAUCGAUAGAGAGGUGGCUACGGAGAACACUUAAGCGAGCGGUGGUGGGCCUGGCAUCAUUACAAUGCACGAUUGAGAGGCAACGGUCAUGCUUAAGAUGGAUACGUGAGGGUGACGCUAACACUAAACUUUUCCAAGCCGUGGCCAAUGGUCGCAGGUCCAAGAAUUUCAUCACCCACCUUAUGCAUAAUGGUGCUCUGAUCACGGAUCAAGAAAGGAAGGAGGAGAUCUUCACAUAUGCUUAUGAACAGCUGUUGGGACACACAUUCGUUUGGGAGGCUGAUGUGUAUCUUCAUUUUUGACAUGGAGGAGCAUGUGCUCUUGGACCCUGAUGCUAUUUUCACAGAGGAAGAAGUGUGGAACACGACCAGGAAGAUGCCCCCGGAACGGGCAUCGGGGUCGGAUGGGUUUAUCGCGACAUUCUAUCAAAAGGCGUGAUCUAUUCUAAAGAACGAUGUUAUGGCGAUGAUCCUUAAGUUAUACUAGCACAAAUACCCGUGCGUUGCAACGGGAUAAAAUUUUACGUGAGAAGGCCCAGGUCGAGUGACAUGCGCCACGCGAGGAUCUCUUCGUUGGGACAAACCUCCCUACAAUACCAACACUCUUAUGGUUUGCGGGUUUAUCCUCUAAAAAAUAUGCCUUUUAUGCUCUAUGGAUUUGAUUUAAAAAAAGGACUUGGACAAAGCAAACAUUUUUUGUGAAUGGAUGAACUUUAUUUAAAAUUGCAAAAUUAUGGCACACAAAGUUGCGUCAGAGAUGGUAAAACGGACUGGAGUGCCCCCCCUCCUCCCAGCUGGCGUGCGAGGGAGAAACAGAUCAAGAUGCUCUCUCUUCAUCCCUCCCUCUCCCCUCCAUAUCUCACCAGUGACAUCUGUAACAUCCAAAGUUGAGGAAUAUCUUAGUUGUCAGCAAAUCCUAGUGAGCUCCAAUUAUCUACUCCGUUAAAAAAUUAGAAUAUAGAAAAAAAUAAAUAAUGAAUAUAAAAACAUAUCAUUUUUUUGCAAUCGAUAGUACGCAUAGCAACAUCCAGCAGCUUCUGGUAGGUGUAACCAUUUAACCAUUAAAAAAACAAAUAGACGAAAAUCCCCACUCUCCCUUAUCCACACAACGCUGCUCAUUCAGAAUUUUGAUUGCGAUCGGUAGCACAUAGCAGAUCCAGCAGCGGUGCAACCAUUAAAAAAAGCGAAUAGACCAAAAUACACCGAGAGAGCUCCCUUAUCCACAGAUCGCUGCUCGUCAUCAACCCACCACCGCUAGCAGAGCUUCUCCGCCCCGCCCCCAGUUCCCUUCGUGCUCUCUCCAGCCACACACAUGCCCGUGCUCCAGCCACACCCACCACGGCGCCGCGUACUCCCCUCUCUAUACCCUCCUCCACUUCACAUGCAACCCCCAGGGACCAUGGCGCCAGAUCGAGCGAGCAAGGAUGCACGCGGUAAGGAUCCCCCCUCCCUCCCCUGAUUCCCCCUGGCGACCUCACACAUCUCUGCGCCGACGAUGCACUACGCCUCUUGGAGUGCGCCGGGUCCGGCGAGGGGUGGGGUCGGGCCGGUGUGGGGAAGGGGGCCACGCCGAGAUCCAGCAGGUGGCGGUGUGUCCAUCGAGUGCACGUCAUAUGCUCCCGGCUUUGCUCUGCUCUUACGCCCGGCCUUUUGCCGUCGCCUUGCUUUGGUCCUUACACCCGCAACGGCCAUUUGCCGCGACUGACUUGGACGCGCCACGCCGAUGGCGACGGCUUCGUGGCUCUUGGAGACGCCAAGGCACGUCGGUCCCUCUCCUCCAGCCUUCUCUCGCGCCUGCCAAGCCAGGCCUGGCCCUCUCCUCCAGCCUCCUCUCGCGCCCGAGUGGAUCUCCCGAGCCAGCCCGUCCGCCUCCGGCCGCCGCCAGCAAGCAAAGCCGUUGUCCGUGCGCUCCGGCCAACUCAGACCGCCGCCUCCUCAGCUUCGCCACAUCAGCCGCCCCUCUGAACUUCCACGUUGGUCUUCGCCUCCUGCAUGAGCCCCCGCCGCCCGUGCGCUCCGGCUAGCUUCCCCUCACGCCAGAGAUCGCCUCGAGUCUUCCUGCCGAGGCCUCCCCUGCGACCAGCCUUUAGCAUGGUCUCCUGCCUGCCUCGGUGCUGACGCCCGCGGCAAGCGGCGGCGCGUGCCCAGCGAGCACCACGCGGUGGUGAGCCAGUCCAAUAAGAGAUAAGGAUCGCGGGCAUAAUUUCAAACAAGUGCAGUGGCUUUUACGCAAAAACCAAACGUUUUUCUAGAGUGCCACUUAAACAGAGACUGCGGGUUGAUUUCAAAGAAACAGAGGGGCUUUUCAUAAAAACACCAACGACGGACGACAUAAACCCAAUUCUCUUUAUUAUUAGGUAAAGAUGUGGGGGAUGGGCGUGGCUUUGGUAAGCUCAACCGCACGCAUAUUGUGCUCAUACCAAAAAAGCCGGACGUCGAGGAUGUGUGGGACUUUCGGCCUAUUAGCCUCACCCAUAGUGCGGCGAAGUUGUUUGCCAAAGAUGCUAGAAAAUCGGGCUCGUAGAAGAAUGAAGGAGAUCGUGACGGCCAAUCAAUCCGCCUUCAUAUGCGGGAGGCAUUUCCAUGAUAACUUUCUCCUGGUGAGGCAAGUUGCUAGGAAGAUACAUGCUCGGAAGGAGGCUAGUGUUUUUCUGAAGUGGACAUUAAGCGAGCGUUUGACUCCCUUGCUUGGCCGUUCCUAUUCAAGGUGAUGCGAAGCAAAGGCUUUGGUCAUAAGUGGUGCGGGUGGAUUUCUAUUCUACUCAGGAUGGCCAGUACCAAAGUGAUCGUGAACGGGGUACCCGGGAGAAGUUUUAUGCAUGUCAAGAGCCUCAGGCAGGGUGAUCCCGUCUCGCCCCUGUUGUUUGUGAUUGCCAUGGAUGUGUUAUCCAAAAUCAUGAUCAAAGCUGUUAGCAUGGGAGUCAUCAGUACUUUCACUGGCAUCGCGGCCCACCAGUCCGUGUCGAUCUAUGCGGAUGAUGUGGCAAUGUUUGUCAAGCCCAGGGAAUUGGACCUCACGUUUGUCUGGAUAGUACUACAGGUGUUCGGUGCCGCGUCAGGUUUGAGGGUGAAUUUUCACAAAUCAUUGGCGGUCAUGAUUCAUGGUGACAAUUUUGACAAGGCCCGUGUUGAGUCUUUGCUUCAUUGUCGCAUGGACAACUUCCCAUGGAAAUACCUAGGACUCCAAUUGGCUAUUAGACAACUCACUCGGGCGGAGUGGCCCCCUAUGUUGGAUCAUGCAAAGAGUUUUGCCUCGGCGUGUGUUGGGGAUAUAACCCCUCGGUGUGACCCGCCCAGGAGGGGCCGGGUUACACGGUUGGCGGCUCAUAGAUGAAGGCCCAAGUAGGCCUGAGAAGAUAUGAACUGAAGACUGGAGGCGGCUUACAAGAUGGGCCAGUUGAAGGCCCAAGACCCAGAGAAAGGUGCUGUGACCCGGCGACAUGAGCCGCCCUAUGGUGAUUUUCCUUGUAAGGCAUGGUGACUUAGAACCCGAGACGGUCACGUUGUGUGAUCCAACUUGGACUCUUGUAAGCCCGGGGCCUCGAGCUGUGUAUAUAAAGGCGAGACCCAGCUGCGGGUUAACUUAAGAAAUAAUUGAUCGAGAGCUAGGUCAAGCGAUUCCGCCCCCUUGUAAUCAAUACCCGAGCAAUAGUCAACAAAAGCAAGAGUAGGCUUUUACCUCGUUGAGAGGGGCCGAACCUGGGUAAACCCUGUGUCCUUUGUCCCGUUCAACCCCUUCGAGCUAACCUGCAUUGCGAUGGCUCCACACCUAACUCCUUUCACACGGGCAUCUACCAUGACAAAUCCACGACAGUUGGCGCCCAUGGGGCCAGAGCACAGUGGUUUCGAGUUCUUGAAGGGCAAUUUCCCAGGGAUCAAGGGAUACGCUGUGGGCCGGAUGACUAAGAGUCACCACGGCAAGAUCUACAUCGACAACGCUGGCUGGGGCCCUGAGGCCGACUCAAUUGAGUACGGGUACCGGGUCCCCUUUGGCGGGAUUCACGUCUUCAUCGGCAAGAUCGGCGAGUCAGAGCCUGAGCUGGACAUCUGCAUCGACAUCAUCUAGUCGGCUCGACGUGCGCGACCUGCUAGGGUUCAACCCGGCCGGAAGCAUGUUUUUUUUUGGUUUCACGCAAGGCAUGGAACUUGCAGAAGGUUCCGAAUCUGGAGGAGAGACAACCAUCUACUCAGGUGAUGAGUCCUCAACCGGAGAGACGGAAUCCAUCUACCAGCUUCAAGACGGCGGGCUUGGGGGCUACUCUGGUGGCAACAGUAUUCCGAACCCCUAUGAGCCGCCCUCCAGGGCUGCGAUUUUCAUGGCUGGCACUGGGUGGGCUCUCAACUCAUCAACCGUGGCGGCUAUGAUGUCUGGGUCGACUGCCGCUGUGACAGCUGGGACGGGCGGCUCAGCCUGGCCGCGGACUCAGGUUUUGUCUGAACUCUUGGACACUUUGACGACUCUAUUAGCCACUCUAUACGAAAUAACAAAUUCAUUCUAAUAAUACUAAAAAAAUAGUGGGUUCCAUCGUUUCUAUGGUUCCCUUUUAAAUGGUGAGGCCCUCUCUAUACACCGGAGCCCUUUCUUUCAUCAAAAGGUAUUGCGAACUUGUAUAGUCCACAUUCUUUGGCUCUACCUAUCCAUUAUAGAGUAAAUAGCUCUUUUCACAAUAAGAGUUAUCCAUACAGUGACGAUAUUUAAUUAUGAAAGUUGGCUAAGUAGCUGACCCUGUUAGUCCGUUCUUUUAAGAUAAAGGAGCAUAAGCCUUUUUCUUUUUAUUAAUAUUUCCUCCGCUUAAUGGAUAACCAUUUGCUACCAACGGGAGAAUUGUUACUGCAGCCAGUCAAGCACAACAUAAUGCAGAAGUUGCAAAGGUGCGAGAUGGGGUGGCCAAAGCUUAGGAGGAUCUUAAUGCAGAGAAUGCCAGGAUGGAGAUGGAGCGAGCUCUGAUGGAUGCUGAGUCACAAUAGAUAAGGGCAGAAGCUUUUUACCUGAGUCUGGAUCAAAAUGCGUCCAAUGGUGGUCUUCGAAGGAGACAUCAGAGCCGCCUGGCUUUGCAGUAUGAGGGGCGGAACCUUUUUAACACAUCUGGGGCCAAAACAAGUAACCCGCCUGGUGUGACCCGGGCUGCAGAAGUGCUAGGGAGCGGGGUAGCGGUUCAACCUUGUUUGCCGGACCCACCUCGUAGGGAUUAGACCCCUCCUCGGUGGGUGCCAACACCCUCUGGCCAUUAUUCAAACCCGAUGGAUAACAUGAUAGUAGCAGCGACACGGCCGGCGGAAAUUCCGAUUAAGAGCGAGUCUCCGUCUGCAGUGGAGACCCGGAACGCCGUGGAGCUUCUUUAAACGGCUGUAGCACACCAGGCGGCUUAUUCAUACAGUCAUGAGAGAGUUCAUGCAACUCCUAGCCCAAGUCGAAGUUACAGCCGGCGUAUUGAGUUGCCGGCGGUUUCCAGCAGCGAACGGCGUCAUAACCCGCCCCGCAAUGAUGACCCACUGCGACGUCUUGAGCUUGCGUUGGUUUGCAUUGAAGAGGAAAGUGUGAUGCAGCAAUAGUAGUGUAAGUAUUUCCCUCAGUUUUUGAGAACCAAGGUAUCAAUCCAGUAGGAGGCUCCUCAAAAGUCCCACACACCUACACAAACAAACAAGAACUCGCAACCAACGCGAUAAAGGGGUUGUCAAUACCUUCACGGCCACUUGCGAAAGUGAGAUCUGAUAGAGAUAAUAUGAUAAGAUAUUUUUUUUUGGUAUUUUUAUGAUAUAGAUUGGAGAAGUAAAGAUGCAACUAAAAGUAAAUAGCAAGCUUAUAUGAUAAGAGAUAGACCCGGGGGCCAUAGGUUUCACUAGUGGCUUCUCUCAAGAUAGCAUAAGUAUUACAGUGGGUGAACAAAUUACUGUCGAGCAAUUGAUAGAAAAGCGAAUAAUAUGAGAUUAUCUAGGCAUGAUCAUGUAUAUAGGCAUCACUUCCGUGACAAGUAGACCGACUCCUGCCUGCAUCUACUACUAUUACUCCACACAUCGACCGCUAUCCAACAUGCAUCUAGAGUAUUAAGUUCAUAAAGAACAGAGUAACGCAUUAAGAAAGAUGACAUGAUGUAGAGGGAUAAACUCAUGCAAUAUGAUAUAAACCCCAUAUUUUUAUCCUCGAUGGCAACAAUACAAUGCGUGCCUUGCUGCCCCUGCUGUCACUGGGAAAGGACACCACAAGAUUGAACCGAAAGCUAAGCACUUGUCCCAUUGCAAGAAAGAUCAAUCUAGAAGGCCAAACCAAACUGAUAAUUCGUAGAGACUUGCAAAGAUAACUUAAUCACACAUAAAAAAUUCAGAGGAGAUUCAAAUAUUUCUCAUAGAUAAACUUGAUCAUAAACCCACAAUUCAUCGGAUCUCGACAAACACACCGCAAAAAGAGUUACAUCAAAUAGAUCUCCAAGAAGAUCAAGGAGAACAUUGUAUCGAGAUCCAAAGAGAGAGAAGAAGCCAUCUAGCUAAUAACUAUGGACCCGAAGGUCUGUGGUAAACUACUCACAACUUAUCAGAGAGGCUAUGGUGUUGAUGUAGAAGCCCUCCGUGGUCGAUUCCCCCUCAGGCGGAGCGUCGACGAAGGCUCCAAGAUGGGAUCUCGCGGAUACAGAAGGUUACGGUGGUGGAAAUAGUUUUUCGUGGUCGCACCUGAGGUUUUCGGGGUACGUGGGUAUAUAUAGGAGGAAGAAGUACAUUGGUGGACGCUCGAGGGGCCCACGAGAUAGGGGGGCGCGCCCAGUAGGGGGGGGGGCUCCACCCUCGUGGCUUCCUCGAUUGCUUCUUGACUUGCACUCCAAGUCCUCUGGAUCACGUUUGUUCCAAAAAGAUCACUCCCAAAGGUUUCAUUCCGUAUGGACUCCGUUUGAUAUUCCUUUUCUUCGAAACACUGAAAUAGGCAAAAAAAAAGCAACAACAAUGCGGGCUGGGCCUUCGGUUAGUAGGUUAGUCCCAAAAAUGAUAUAAAAUUGUAAAGUAAAGCCCAUAAGCAUCCAAAAUAGGUAAUAUAAUAGCAUGGAACAAUAAAAAAUAAUAGAUACGUUGGAGACGUAUCAAGCACCCCCAAGCUUAAUUCCUUCUCGUCCUCGAGUAGGUAAAUAAUAAAAACAGAAUUUUUGAUGUGGAAUGCUACCUAGAAUAAUUCUCAAUGUAAUUUUCUUUAUUGUGGCAUGAUUGUUCAGAUUCAAAUGAUUCAAGAUAAAAGCUUAUAAAACGUAAAAAUAGUAAUACUUUGAAGCAUACUAACAAAUAAUCAUGUCCUAUCAAAAUAGCAUAGCCAAAUAAAGCUUAUCCCUACAAAAUCAUAUAGUUAGGCCAUGCUUCAUUUUCAUUACACAAAAUACUCCCAUCAUGCACAACCCCGGUUUCAGCCAAGCAAUUGGUUCAUACUUUUUAAUGCGCUUCAGCCUUUUCAACUCUUACGCAAUACAUGAGCGCAAGCCAUGGACAUAGCACUAUGGUGGUAUAAGGUGGUGGUUGUGAGGACAAAAAGGGAGAAGAUGGUCUCACAUCAACUAGGUGUAUCAACGGGCUAUGGAGAUGCCCAUCAAUAGAUAUCAAUGUGAGUGAGUAGGGAUUGCCAUGCAACGAAUGCACUAGAGCUAUAAUGGAUGAAAGCUCAACAAAAGAAACUAAGUGGGUGUGCAUCCAACUUUCUUGCUCACGAAGACCUAGGGCAUUUUGAGGAAGCCCAUCAUUGGAAUGUACAAGCCAAGUUCUAUAAUGAAAAAUUCCCACUAGUAUAUGAAAGUGACAACACAAGAGACUCUCUAUCAUGAAGAUCAUGGUGCUAUUUUGAAGCACAAGUGUGGAAAAGAGAUAGUAGCAUUGCCCCUUCUCUCUUUUCUCUCAUUUCAUUUUUUUUCUUUUUUUAUUUGGCCUUUCUCUUUUUUUAUUUGGUGGGCUCUUGGGCCUCUUUUUUUAUUGAAGUUCGAAGUCUCAUCCCGACUUGUGGGGGAAUCAUAGUCUUCAUCAUCCUUUCCUCACUUGGGACAAUGCUCUAAUAAUGAAGAUCAUCACACUUUUAUUAAUUUACAACUCGAGAAUUACGACUCAAUACUUAGAACAAAAUAUGACUCUAUAUGAAUGCCUCCGGCGGUGUACCGGGAUAUGCAAUGAAUCAAGAGUGACAUGUAUGAAAAUUAUGAUGGUGGCCUUGCCACAAAUACAAUGUCAACUACAUGAUCAUGCAAAGAGCAAUAUGACAAUGAUGGAGCGUGUCAUAAUAACAGAACAGUGGAAAGUUGCAUGGCAAUAUAUCUCGGAAUGGCUAUGGAAAUGCCAAAAUAGGUAGGUAUGGUGGCUGUUUUGAGGAAGGUAAAUAAUGGGUGCAUGACACCGGCGGAAGUUGCGCGGUAUAAUAGAGGCUAGCAAAGUGGAAGGGUGAGUGUGCGUAUAUCCAUGGACUCACAUUAGUCAUAAAGAACUCAUAUACUUAUUGCAAAAGUCUACUUGCCUUCGAAGCAAAGUACUACUACGUUUGCUCCUAAGGAAGGGUUGGUAGGAGUUAACCAUCGCGCGAUCCCGACCUCCACUCAUAAGGCAAUUAAAAGAGCACCUCAUGCAACAAAUUUGUCACACAACUUUUACCAUACGUGCAUGCUACCGGACUUGCCAACUUCAACACAAGUAUUUCUCAAUUUCAUAAUUACCCACUAGCAUGGCUCUAACAUUACCACCUUUAUAUCUCAAAACAAUUAUCAAGCAUCAAAUUGAUCCUAGUGUUUAAUGCACUUUCUAUGAUAGUUUUUAUUAUACCCAACUUGGAUGCUCAUCAUUCUAGGACCAAAUUUAUAACCAUAGCAAAUACCAUGCUGUUCUAAAAGACUCUCAAAAUAAUAUAAGUGAAGCAUCAGAGAUCAACAAUUUCUUCAAAAUUAAGCCACCGCCGUGCUCUAAAAUAUAUAAGUGAAGUACUAGAGCAAAAACUAUCUAGCUCAAAAGAUAUAAGUGAAGCACAUAGAGUAUUCUAAUAAAUUCUAAUCAAGUGGGCUUCUCCCAAAAGGUGUGUACAGAAAGGAUGAUUGUGGUAAACUAAAAAGUAAAGACUAAUACUAUACAAGACGCUCCAAGCAAAACACAUAUCAUGUGACGAAUAAAAAUAUAGCUCCAAGUAAACUUACCGAUAAAUGAAUACGAAAGAGGGGAUGCCUUCCGGGGGCAUCCCCAAGCUUAGGCUUUUGGCUAUUCUUGAAUAUUUUGGGGUGCCAUGGGCAUCCCCAAGCUUAGGCUCUUUCCACUCCUUAUUCCAUAGUCCAUCAAAUCUUUACCCAAAACUUGAAAACUUCACAACACAAAACUCAACAGGAAAUCUCAUAAGCUCCGUUAGUGAAAGAAAGAAAAACCACCACAUAAGGUACUGUAAUGAACUCAUUAUUUAUUUAUAUUGGUGUUAAACCUACUGUGUUCCAACUUCUCUAUGGUUCAUACCACUUAAUACUAGCCAUCGAUGCAUCAAAAUAAGCAAACAACACACGAAAGACAGAAUCUGUCAAAAACAGAACAGUCUGUAGCAAUGUGUAACUCUUGAAUACUUAUGUAACUCUAAACAUCCUACCAAAAUAGGAAUUCCUGGGUAAUUUGUCGAUUGAUCUACAGCAAAAAGAAUCAACGUAAAAGCACGUUUCUGUGAAUUACUAAAAUUAUUUUCGUGCGCGCAAAGUUUCUGUUUUUUAGCAGAAUCAAAUCAACUAGCACCAUAGGUUAUCCUAUAGGUUCUACUUGGCACAAACACUAAUUAAAACAAAAAAACACAUAUAAACAGAAAGUAGAUGCAAAAUUUAUUACUAAACAGAAACAAAAACAAAAAACACAAAUAAAAUUGGGUUGCCUCCCAACUAGCGCUAUCAUUUAACGCCCCUAGCUAGGCAUAAAAGCGAGGAUAGAUCUAAGUAGUGCCAUCUUUGGCACUCAAUUCAUAAGUAGUUCGCAUGAUAGAUUCAUAAGGUAAUUUAACUUUCUUUCUUGGGAGGUGCUCCAUGCCUUUCCUUAAUGGAAAUUGGAAUCUAAUAUUCCCUUCAUAUCAAUAAUUGCACCAAUCGUUCUAAGGAAAGGUCUACCAAGAAUAAUGGGGCAAGAAAGAUUGCAAUCUAUAUCAAGAAUGAUAAAAUCUACUGGCACAAAAUUUCUAUUUGCAACAAUGAGAACAUAAUUGAUUCUUCCCAUUGACUUUUUAAUGGUGGAAUCCGCAAGGUGCAAAUUUAAAGAGCAAUCAUCAAGAUCAUGGAAACCUAGAAUAUCACAUAAAGUUUUCGGAAUUGUGGAAACACUAGCACCCAAAUUACACAAAGCAUAACACUCAUGAUCUUUAAUUUUAAUCUUUAUAGUAGAUUCCCAUUCAUCAUAAAGUUUUCUAGGUAUAGAAACUUCCAAAUUAAGUUUUUCAUCAUAAGAUUGCAUCAAGGCAUCAACAAUAUGUUUGGUAAAAGCUUUAUUUUGACUAUAAGCAUGAGGAGAAUUCACAACGGAUACCAACAAUGAAAUACAAUCUUCUAAAGAACAAUUAUCAUAAUUAAAUUCUUUGAAUUCCAAGAUAGUGGGUUCAAUACUAUUUAAAGUCUUGACCUCUCCAAUCCUACUUUUACCAAAUUUAGCAUCAAGAUCUAAAAACUCCGAAUCAUUGGGACGCCUUUUAACUAAAGUUGACUCAUCUCCAGUCCCAUCAUUAUUAAGAUUCAUAUUGCAAAACAAAGUUCUAAUAGGGGACACAUCAAUAACUUUAAAAUCUUCUUCAUUAUUUUCAUGGAAACUAGAAGAACACACCUUUAUAAAGCAAUCUUUCUUAGCACGUAAUCUAGCGGUUCUUUCUCUGCACUCAUCAAUGGAAAUUCUCAUAGCUUUGAGAGACUCAUUGAUAUCAUGCUUAGGAGGAGUAGAUAUAAGUUUCAAAGAGUCAACAUCAAGCGAGAGUCUAUCAACGUUCCUAGCCAAAUCAUCAACUUUAAGCAAUUUUUCUUCAAGCAAGGCAUUAAAAUUCUUUUGAGAAAUCAUAAAUUCUUUCACACUAUUCUCAAAAUCAGAGGGAAUAUUAUUAAAAUUAUCAUAAGAAUUAUUGUAGGAAUUUCCAUAAUUAUUAGAGGAAUUACUAGGGAACGGUCUAGGAUUAAAGUUUCCUCUAUAAGCAUUAUUUCCAAAAUUAUUCCUACCAACAAAAUUCACAUCCAAAGAUUCAUUAUUAUUCUCAAUAAAAGUAGACAAAGGCAUAUCAUUGGGAUCAAUUGAAGCACUCUUAGUAGCAAACAAUUUCAUAAGUUCAUCCAUCUUUCCACUUAAAACAUUAAUUUCUUCUAUAGCAUGCACUUUUUUACUAGUAGAUCUUUCGGUGUGCCAUUGAGAAUAAUUAGCCAUAAUAUUAUCAAGGAGUUUAGUAGAUUCUCCUAAGGUGAUUUCCAUAAACGUGCCUCCCGCUACCGAUUCUAAAAGAUUUCUAGAAGCAAAAUUCAAUCCGGCAUAAAAUUUUUGUAUGAUCAUCCAUAAAUUCAAACCAUGAGUAGGGCAAUUGCGAAUCAUCAAUUUCAUUCUUUCCCAAGAUUGGGCAACAUGCUCAUGAUCAAGUUGUUUAAAAUUCAUAAUAUCGUUCCUAAGGGAGAUGAUCUUAGCGGGAGGAAAAUACUUAGAGAUGAAAGCAUCUUUGCACUUGUUCCAUGAAUCAAUACUAUUCUUAGGCAAAGACGAAAACCAAACUUUAGCACGAUCUCUAAGUGAAAACAUAAAUAAUUUCAAUUUAACAAUAUCAUUAUCCGUAUCUUUUUUCUUCUGCAUCUUACACAAAUCAACAAAGUUGUUUAGAUGGGUAGCGGCAUCUUCACUAGGAUGGCCGGAGAAUUGAUCUUUCAUAACAAGAUUCAGCAAAGCAGCAUCAAUUUCACAAGACUCAACAUCAUUAAGAGGAGAAAUCGGAGUACUAAGGAAAUCAUUAUUAUUGGUAUUGGAAAAAUCACAAAAUUUGGUAUUAUGUUGCGUCAUCGCGACAAGUACUCCAACACACAAACAAACAAAAGGCAAACGAAAGAGAGAGAAGAUUGGGAAAGAGAGGGCGAAUAAAACGGCAAGGGUGAAGUGGGGGAGAGGAAAACGAGAGGCAAAUGGCAAAUAAUGUAAAUGCGAGGGAGAUGAGUUUGUUAUGGGUACUUGGUAUGUCUUGACUUGAGCGAAGACCUCCCCGGCAACGGCGCCAGAAGUCCUUCUUGCUAUGUCUUGAGCUUGCGUUGGUUUUCCUUGAAGAGGAAAGGGUGAUGCAACAAUAGUAGCGUAAGUAUUUCCCUCAGCUUUUGAGAACCAAGGUAUCAAUCCAGUAGGAGGCUCCUCAAAAGUUCCACGCACCUACACAAACAAACAAGAACUCACAAACAACGCAAUAAAGGGGUUGUCAAUCCCUUCACGGCCACUUGCGAAAGUGAGAUCUGAUAGAGAUAAUAUGAUAAGAUAAAUAUUUUUGGCAUUUUUAUGAUAUACUCCCUCCGUUCCUAAAUAUAAGGUGUAUUAGUUUUUCAAAAAGUCAACUGUUGUCUAUGUUUGACUAACUUUACAGCAAAAUAUAUAAAGAUUUAUAAUACUAAAUAUAUAGAAAGUAAAAAUAUAGUUCAUGAUGAAUCUAGUGAUAAUGAUUUGGUAUUCUAGAUAUUGAUAUUUUUGUCUAUAAACUUGGUCAAACUUAGAGAACUUUGACUUUUUGGAAAAAUAAUACACCUUAUAUUGAGGAACGGAGGGAGUAGAUUGGAAAAGUAAAGAUGCAACUAAAAGUAAAUAGCAAGCUUAUAUGAUAAGAGAUAGACCCGGGGGCAAUAGGUUUCACUAGUGGCUUCUCUCAAGAUAGCAUAAGUAUUACGGUGGGUGAACAAAUUACUGUCGAGCAAUUGAUAGAAAAUCAAAUAAUUAUGAGAUUAUCUAGGCAUGAUCAUGUAUAUAGGCAUCACGUCCGUGACAAGCAGACCGACUCCUGCCUGCAUCUACUACUAUUACUCCACACAUCGAUCGCUAUCCAGCAUGCAUCUAGAGUAUUAAGUUCAUAAAGAAUAGAGUAACGCAUUAAGAAAGAUGACAUGAUGUAGAGGGAUAAACUCAUGCAAUAUGAUAUAAACCCCAUAUUUUUAUCCUCGAUGGCAACAAUACAAUACAUGCCUUGCUGUCCCUGCUAUCACUGGGAAAGGAUACCGCAAGAUUGAACCCAAAGCUAAGCACUUCUCCCAUUGCAAGGAAGAUCAAUCUAGAAGGCCAAACCAAACUGAUAAUUCAAAGAGACUUGCAAAGAUAACUUAAUCACACAUAAAAGAAUUCAGAGGAGAUUCAAAUAUUUAUCAUAGAUAAACUUGAUCAUAAACCCACAAUUCAUCGGAUCUCGACAAACACACCUCAAAAAGAGUUACAUCGAAUAGAUCUCCAAUAAGAUCAAGGAGAACAUUGUAUUGAGAUCCAAAGAGAGAGAAGAAGCCAUCUAGCUAAUAACUAUGGACCCGAAGCUCUGUGGUAAACUACUCACAACUCAUCGGAGAGGCUAUGGUGUUGAUGUAGAAGCCCUCCAUGAUCGAUUCCCCCUCCGGCGGAGUGCCGAUGAAGGCUCCAAGAUGGGAUCUCGCGGAUAUAGAAGGUUACGGUGGUGGAAAUAGUUUUUCGUGGUCGCCCCUGUUGUUUUCGGGGUACGUGGGUAUAUAUAGGAGGAAGAAGUAUGUCGGUGGACUCCCGAGGGGCCCACGAGAUAGGGGGGCGCACCCAGUGGGGGGGGGGGGCGCCCUCCACCCUCGUGGCUUCCUCGAUUGCUUAUUGACUUGCACUCCAAGUCCUCUGGAUCACGUUUGUUCCAAAAAGAUCGCUCCCGAAGGUUUCAUUCCGUUUGGACUCCGUUUGAUAUUCCUUUUCUUCGAAACACUAAAAUAGGCAAAAAAACAACAAUAUGAGUUGGGCCUCCAGUUAGUAGGUUAGUCCCAAAAAUGAUAUAAAAGUGUUAAGUAAAUCCCAUAAACAUCCAAAACAGGUAAUAUAAUAGCAUGGAACAAUCAAAAAUUAUAGAUACGUUGGAGACGUAUCACCCAUCCUGUGGGAAUAACCCGCCUCGUGACUAACUAAUGCUCAGGCGAUUGUGGAUCAGGCUCGAGCUCGUCGUGACGCGGAAGUAGCGGCUUAAUUGGGCGCUUAUCAGCAGCCCCCGGGGAACCCUUCAGCCUCACUUGAAGCUGGGACGACUUCUAGGACAGUUGGUGUGCCAUGUUUGGUAUCGGCUCUGCAUAAUGAAUAGUUACCCAAGGAUUUUAAAGGCCCUCGUAAAGUGCCUAAUUAUACAGCUGAUCUUCCUCCCGAGGCUUGGAUUGGGAGCUAUGAAUUGGCCAUGGAGAUGCUGGAUGUUAAUGACGCUGUAUGCACCAAGUACUUUACUAUGAUGCUGGAUGGGCCGGCUCGAACAUGGUUAAAAAGCUUGCCUGCCAAUUCCGCCAGUUCAUGGGCGGAGCUGAAGGCAUAGUUUAUUCAGAACUUUAAAGGUAUAUGCAAGCAACCUCUGACGAUUAUCGAUCUCGAUAACUGCAACGUGAGGACAAGUCGGCCCACAAUUGGGUUCGUCGGGUUUCAGCUAUUAUCCACUCGUCAGAUAGCAUUGCGGCGGGUUCAGCGGUCCUAGUCUUGGAGAAAAAAAAUGUCAUUUCACCCCCCCCGCCUCGAGCAGAAGCUCGGGCGCGUUAAAAGUCAUUGUAAUGACAUGUGUGAGCUAAUGGUGGUUCUCAUUAAGUAUGCAGACUCUCACAACACCAAGGACCCUGGAUAUGAUGAUGAGAAAUCCAACAAGGGCAAUAAGAAUGGCAAUGGUAAGGGUCAGCAACAGAAAGUGACAGGGCAUAUUGGGAAAAAUCAAGGCAACAAUGGUAAGCGCAGGCACUCUGAUGGCAGGUCAGAUCAAGUGGCUAACACCAACACCGGAUAUAAAGGCCAGCACCAUAAUGGUAAUGGUAAGCAGUCCUUUGGAGGAAAGAAUUUUAACCUUGAGGCGAUGUUUAAUAAACCCUUCCCAAAGCACAGUUUGCCUGAUAAGCCGGCGGUCAUGCCUAGAAGGAUUAUUUCAUCAUGAGAGAAUACAAGAAUUCUCAUUUUAAUCAGAAUCAUGGUAAUAAUAAUGGGUCGUCUGGCGGGUCAGGAUCCGGUUCACAGGGACCCAGCUUUGGUGGGGGCGGCUCAAAUUCUGGUUAUCAGGGUCAAGGUAGGUGGGUAUAACCAACAAUAUGGUCAUGACAACCAGCAACAAAAUACUCAGUCAGGCUAUCAGAGCAAUCCAAAGCAGCUUAAUGGAGGUCAAUAUCACGUGUUCACCACAAGUCUUUGUAAACAUGAUUAGAAGGUCCGUAAGCGCGCGGUCAAUGCUGUUAAGCCGGCAAUUCCACAGUACUUGUGAUGGUCGAAAUAUCAGAUCACAUGGAGUAGAGCGUAUCACCCGCCCCGGGUUGAGAAUCCGGGUCAUCUGGCAUUAGUGGUAGCCCCUCAAGUGGGUGGUUAUAAGUUUACUAAAGUACUUAUGGAUGGAGGCAACAAUAUCAACAUCUUAUAUUAUGAAACCUUUCGACGUAUGAAUUUAACUAACAAGGAUCUUAAGCCAUCCUCCAUAGUCUUCCAUGGUGCGGUGCCUGGUAUGUCGUGGUAAUAUCUCAACUGAUGCCAGGGGGUGGCUUAUCAUGGUUGGGGCCAUGAGAUCAUCGUCGGGUCCUGGAAGAGGGAGUGGGCACAAGCUCAGACGGACACGAGAUCUACCUAGGUUCAGGGCUCUCCUAAGAGAUGAAACCCCUACUCCUGCUCUGCGGGGUCUCCGCAUGAUCACUAUAUCACAGGGUGUACGAAGGUGCUCCUAGAGCUGUUUGGCUAGAGGAGGAAGAAGGGCAAGGCUAGCUCUCUUCUCCCCUAGGUGUGGCUGUGGAUUGGAAUGGAGGGAAUUAAUGUGUGAACCCUUUGCAUGUGUCACUACAAAAAAAAGACACAUCCGUGACAUUUUGGGCCGAACAAUUUUUUUUUCUGUCAUACAUAUGACACUUCUAUGACGAUAAUUGUGACAAAACCCGGUAUCAUCAUAGAUGUGGUGGGCUCCUACUUCUAUGACAAAAAAUCAUGACAGAAAAUGGGCUUUUCGUCCUGGGCGGGCCGGAGACGCAGCUGCAUGACAUUCUUUGGGCCGUCCAUGACGGAAAAAACUAUGGUAGAAGCGAGGGGGAGGAAAAUUUUGGGGAGUUGCCGGUUACGGUGGGAGGUCGGGGGUGGAGCGAUGCAUGUUUCUCUCGUACAUACGCGCGUGUGUGCGAGGCGUUGGCUCUAAGUGAAGCCGAGCGAGGCGUUGGGCUCUAACUGAACCCGAGCGAUUGCACUACAGGCUACGCGUUACUGAACCCGAGCGAUCGAUCGAUGGCUGUUAACUGAACCCGAUGGAGCGAUUCCUUCGCUACUGCUGCUAACUAAAGCCGAUCGAUGCUGCCUCUGNNNNNNNNNNNNNNNNNNNNNNNNNNNNNNNNNNNNNNNNNNNNNNNNNNNNNNNNNNNNNNNNNNNNNNNNNNNNNNNNNNNNNNNNNNNNNNNNNNNNNNNNNNNNNNNNNNNNNNNNNNNNNNNNNNNNNNNNNNNNNNNNNNNNNNNNNNNNNNNNNNNNNNNNNNNNNNNNNNNNNNNNNNNNNNNNNNNNNNNNNNNNNNNNNNNNNNNNNNNNNNNNNNNNNNNNNNNNNNNNNNNNNNNNNNNGUAGACGGUGGAGGGGUUCCCGAGGAGGGGUUGUUGAACAGUAGCCGGUGUAGCGCGCGGUGGAGGCUGGAUGAACAGGAGCCCGUGGAGGCUGGAGGAGGUCGACGGUAGCCCGUGGAGGCUGGAGGAGGUCGACGGUGGAGAUGAACAGUAUCUCGUGGAGUCCCGUUUUGCGGUACGCCACACCCCUCCCCCCUGUUCGACCGUAGCGCUCCAACACAAGUCCGUUUCGUCCGUUUUGCGGUACGCCACACCCCUCCCGAUGAACAGGACCCCUGUUUCGACCGUAGCGCUCCAACACAAGUCCGUUUCGUCCGUUUUGCGGUACGCCACACCCCUCCCGAUCAACAAGACCCCCGUUUCGACCGUAGGAGGUCCAUUUCCUCUGUUUUGCGGUACGCCAGGCCCCUCCUGAUCAACAGGACCCUGUUUCGAAUGUGGCCGGUCGAACACAAGGCCGUUUCCUCCAUUGUGCGGUACGCCAUGCCUCGUUUCCAUCGCCUGUUCCGUCCAAGCCCUCCCGAUGAACACCACCACACAUUCCAUUCUGACCCAACCGGUUGGCUCCCCAUGAACAUGACGAUGACGCUGUUUCUCCGUUCCGACCCAGCCAUAUACGUAUGCGCGAGUAGGCGUUCGAGACCCUGCCCGUAUGUAUGUAUGUGGCCGUAUUUUCUUUCUUGCACCCUCGCCGCUGUAUGUACGUGUACAUGCUACGUGCGCGCCUCUACAUCUACGACACGUGCGCGCCUCUACAUCGACCAGUAUGUACGUACACGUUCACGACCAGAAUGACAAUGCUACGUACGCUUCGACCAGGUGGGUCCUGACUGUCAGGCACUUCCUUGCGUGCGAAGAUGUAGCUGGUGGGUCCCAGCAGUCAGGGGGGCGAAUCGUUUUUUUUUGCCCGGACGCACUUCCUUGCAUGCGAAGAUGUAGCUGGUGGGUCCCAGCAGUCAGGGGGGCGAAUCGUUUGUUUCGUGAAAUACGGUGGCCCGUCCGGUGGGUCCCCGCUGUCAGCUGGAGGAAUCAUUAUUUUGCGCGUAAUAAGGAGGCACUUCCUUGCGGCGGCCGUGGACCCAGCUGUCAGCCUCUCCACGUACAGUCCACGUCCGAUGGAAGUCGUUCCUUGACCACGUUGACCACGCCGCACCGAGAGCACCACGGCGGUGGACGACGGCGAGGCCUAGGAAGGGGACGACUCGGAGCCGGGGAAGACGCAUCAGUGGAUGCCCACACGAAGAGGAGUAUGAGGAUUCACUGGUUCGGCUGCGUGUGAGGCUGCUGUCACUGCAGAAUAAGAGGGGGUGUGGGUGAGUAGAGGGAUGGCCUGGACAGCGGUGGGAGUAGUAGGGGGCGGUGAGGCCUCCGCAGCAUCACAGCCGGCCACGGGAGGCAGGAGCACGCGGCACGACCAGCGCUGGUUUGGGCGGCUGGAGCAAGAAGACCAGAGGUUGAAGAAGCACUACGGCCGUUGGAUGAACAUCGUACGGUAACAGGAGCUAGAAUCAUUCAUAUUGACUAAGUUGACAAAGCCCUCCGUCCUCGUCAACUUGGUAGGCCCACAAGUCAGCCUCCCACUAUGCUGGGUUCCAGCUGGCAGGGGGAGUAUUCAUUUUUGUGUGCGUAAUAAGGAGGCACUUCCUUGAGUGCGAAGAUAGCUGGUGGGUCCGACAUGUCAGCUGGGGGCACGUUUUUUUCGUGAAAUACAGAGGCCCUUCCGGUGGGUCCCAGAUGUCAGGUGGAGGAAUAAUUAUUUUGCGCGUAAUAACGAGGCACUUCCUUGCUGCGGCCGUGGACCCAGCUGUCAGCCUCUCCAUGUACAAUCCACGUCCGAUGGAAGCCGUUCCUUGACCAUGUUGACCACGCCGCGCCGAGAGCACUAGGGCGGUGGACGACGACGAGGCCUAGGAAGGGAACAACACGGAGGCAGGGAAGACUCGGCAGUUGUUUCCCACAUGGAGGGGAGUACGACUGUACGAGGGUUUACUGGUUCGUCUGCCCUCGCCGGAGAAUAACAGCAGGUGUGGCCGUGUGGGUGAGUAGAGGGAUGGCUAGGCCAGCGAUGGGAGUACAGUGGGGCGGUGAGGCCUGCGCGGCAGCACAGCCGGCCGCGGGGAGGAGGGAGCAGGCAGUCCCUCCGGCGCUUGUUUGAGCGGCUGGAGCAGGAAGAGCAGAGAUUGAAGAAGCACGACGACCGUUGGAUGGACAUCGUACGGUCAAUGGAGCUAGAAUCGUUCAUAUUGACUAAGUUGACAAAGCCCUCUGUCCCCGUCAACUUAGUAGGCCCACAAGUCAGCCUCCCACCAUGGUGGGUCCCAGCUAGCAGGGGGAGUAUUCAUUUUUCUGUGCAUAAUAAAGAGGCACUUCCGAUGGGUCCGAGCUGAUAACGGGGGGAACGUUUUUUUCGCGAAAUACGAUGGUCCGUCCGGUGGGUCCCAGCAGUCAGGGGCAAACGUUUUUUUCGCGAAAUACGGUGGCCCAUCUGGUGGGUCACAGCAGUCAGGGGGGAAAUGUUUUUUCCACAAAAUACUGGUGGCCCGUCCGGUGGGUCCCUGCUGACAGGUGGAGGAAUAAUUAUUUUGCACGUAAUAAGGAGGCACUUCCUUGCGGCUGCCGUGGACCCAGCUGUCAGCCUCUCCACGUACAGUACUCUUCCGAUGACAGUCGGUCAUUGACCACAUUGACCACGUCGCGCCGAGAGCACCAGGGUGGUGGACGACGGCGAGGCCUAGGAAGGGGACGACACGGAGCCGGGGAAGACGCGACAGUGGAUGCCCACGCGGAGAGGAGUACGAGGGUUCACUGGUUCGGCUGCGGUGUGAGGCUGCCGUCGCCGCAGAAUAACAAGGGGAGUGGGUGAGUGGAGGGAUGGCCUGGCCAGCGGUGGGAGUAGUAUGGCGACGGUGAGGCCUCCGCGGCAGCACAGCCGGCCACGGGAAGGAGCAUGCGACACGACCGACGCUGCUUUGGGCGGCUGGGGCAAGAAGACCAGAGGUUGAAGAAGCACUACGGUCGUUGGAUGGACAUCAUUGACCACGCCGCGCCGAGAGCACCAGGGCGGUGGACGACGGCAAGGCCUACAAAGGGAACAACAGGGAGCCGGCGAAGACACGGCAGUGGCUGCCCGCGCGGUGGAGAGUACGAGGGUUGACUGGUUCGGCUGCCGUCGCUGGAAAAUAACAGGAGGUGUGGGUGAGUAGAGGGAUAGAUAGGCCAGGGAUGGGAGUAUGAUGGGGCCGUGAGGCCUGCCCAGUAGCACUGCCGGCCACGGGAGGCGGGAGCAGGCGGUUCCGACGGCGCUGGUUUGGGCGGCUGGGGCAGGAAGAUCAGAGACUGAAGAAGCACGAUUGCCGUUAGAUUGACAUCUAACGGUCUGAUGCUGGUAGAGUCGAUUGUUGACUAAGUUUCUUUUUUAAGAAACCUUGUGUACGCAUGAACUUAGUAGGCCCACAAGUCAGCCUCCAAAUCUGUUGCAGACAACAUAAAGCCCAUUUGCUAUUUUUUACAAUUUGCAGCCCAUUUGCUAUUUUUUAUAAUUUGUAGCCCAUUUGCUAAUUCUUAAGUAAUUUAUUACAACUCAUCUUCUGCCCAGGACCACGGUCAAAAAGUUCAACCUUAUUUUGCAUAUUUCGGUGGAGUCCAAACUGUUGUAAUCCCGAAAUGAUAAACAUUUUUUUAAGAACUUAUUGAUUUGCCAAAAAAAUUGUUUUGUUUUUGUAAGCAAAUAAGACGUGGGACAAUUGAGUUGGUUUAAGGGAAAACCAGUGGUAAAAAAAUCAGCGCCGGGUGAGAAAAAACAACAAAAAUAAGGAUGUAAAUAUGAAAAGGGAAUUUAUGUGUUUUCAAUAUAAUGAUACGUGUAUAUGAACUAGUAAAACUAUAGGUAAAGAUUAGAAAACGGAUGUAGGACAUGCGUUUCAAGAGGAAAAUAGAACUAGGCUGUGUGUUUGAUUCAGUAACAAAACUGCCUGCGGAUGUUGUAAGACAAAAUAUAACUAACGCUAGCGGGCCAGAGGCCAGUAGAUACCCGCUGGAUCUUUGUGCCCCGUUGUCGUCAUGGGUUGGGCCUCUUAAAAACAAAACCAACCCUGGUCAGUCUACAGCAUAGUUGAAACUUGCUCGACCUGAAAAAACAAUAUACAUGCUCAAUAAACGAGAGAAUUCUGCAAGCACAGACUGAUAACUGGGACGCAACAUAGAUAUGGUUUUUUUAUCGUGAUAAUAAGUGCAUGCACUUAUUUCGAAAAAACUGCAGAACUGGGAAUUCGAACGGCGGGUGCUUAUGCUACCCAUCAAAUAAAAAUCAGGUGCCUGAGAAUUUGUUUCGAAACAAAUUAUUCAGCUUUAUAUCCACGUCGACCCUCGGCAUGAUGGUUGGAAGCAAAUGCAAGUUCAUACCAAAAGAUCGUUAACAACAAUACCAACUUGCGGACGACAAGGUAGUACAACUACCAAUACCAAACUACUCCUGGCCCUAGUGUUCAUCUGGUAGAAAAUCUUGCAGAGGACCAGCUCCCGCUUCUUCUCUUGCUCUAGGUCCCCGAUGUGGUACUGGUGCAUCACCCAGUUGGUCCUCUGCUGGUCGAAGUUCUUGUUGGUGUGCAUCACCAGAACCUUUUUUGCUGCCCGUCUACCGACCGUUGACCAUCACAGGCAAGGUAUUGCCGGUCUUGUGCCACAUCGCGUGCAUGCCGCACUCCGACUGUAUCUUGCGACGCGUCCACGUGCCCCUUUUGAACGCCCUGGAAUUGCAUUGGAAGAAAUGCUUCCUUAGGCCACUCAGUGUGAUACCUGCAGUAUUGUGGAAUACAGGUUUUAGUGUACCUAGUUGGCAUUUUCAUAACAUCUUUGGCAUGUUGCAGUCACUUGUUUCACUUUUUAUUAACUGUCAAAUUGUAAUUGUAUCACCAGGUCUGUGUCUAAAAAAAAUAGAGCUAUAAACAAAGGAAUAUGUUUGUGCAAGUAGACGGCCGAUCGGUGUCUUACCUGGAAGUUUCUCAGGUUGGGUGUAGCAUAUGCCGUGCUUGCUGUCGAUGGUUGGUAUGAACAAAUCGAUGAGAGACUGAAAUAUCGUGCUGUCAACACUCACUUUGGCCUCAAGGUGCUCGAUCAGCUCCUGAUCCGUGGGAUCGAACUUGACGCCAGCCGGCAGCACCGGCCAAUCCUUCUUCGACUUGCAUCGGUAAUUCCAGUUAUAUGGUACUCAAUGUAUGACCAAUCGACUGUUUUAAGUGAAUGAUGAAAUAUUUUGACAGAGUAAAGACUCGCGCUUCUUUGACAGUUGUACGAGAGUAAUUGCCAUGCUGUUUUGCAAGGGUGCUUGUAAGAACACUAAACUCUAUUCUCCUCUUAUUUAAUGGAUGAGGCAAAUCUUUUGCCUCCGUUUCGAAAAAAGAGAUUUUGACACAUAAGUGGUACUCCAAAUCUGAAGUCCAGAAUACCCGAACACGCCGCCGGGAUUCUUGUGUCACCUCACGCGCAGUGAGUUGUCACGUCAAUUCAAUGUGUGGACAUGAUGAAUAAUUUGACCGAUGUAUACUAGUACUGCUACUGUACUACUUACUAGUCGUAUUUAGUGUCACAAUUUAUACAUAGGUUUAACUAACAAGUACACACUUGAAGCCUAACUGAUAUAUAUGUAUAUAUAUGGCUUUUGCACAACAUCUCCAUCAUCAUUAUCAGUACAUCCUACGCAGGUGAGUUAGGAUGCACUUGAUCCCAGAAAGGUAUCUAUCCUUCAAACCAGAGGAGUGCUUCAAACUAACAAUAGUACAUAAUAUCCAACAAAAGAGGGUCGUGCUACAGCAGCAGAAUACAUGGCUCAGUCUAGAUAUCAGCACAGAUCAAGUUGUGCAUAUUUGCCGUUGGCAUGAACCACAUCGCCGCAUGUCGGGUUUGCAAAAGCCAUCCAUUGCAUGGAAGCUUGAUGCCUUUCACACACUGAAGAUUACCUGGCAACAAGCUGUGUCGACGCGUCUCUGGAUAUGGUGAUUCAUGAAACCCAUGGUAUGAUGUGUAAACACAGCCCCCCCUCGCGAAUGGAAGUUGCAUAGCACAGUAAUCAUCACCGGUGAUAUGAUCGAUCAUUGGUUGGAUGAUCGGAUAAUUGAGCCCGAGGAACAAGGAGUGGUUGCCGAGGCUGUAAACCCGCCUCCAGUUGAAUACGCCUGGCCCAACAGAGCUGGGAUCUUUCUCGAACACGAAACAGCCAUAGCCAUCAAUGUCACAAACGCCCCAUGCAUUGUACUGCAUGUGGUUUGAUGUAAUGGUUUGGUCAAUUUGGUACGUGCGAAUGAGCAUAAAAUCACCGCCGUUAGCUGAACGAGCGAUAAACCACCACCCAUCGGCUGGUAUGAUUCCAGGUCCUGGAAUCAUGAAGGGCAGCGCAUUUGCGUCUGCUGCAACAAGUCAAAUUGGAGACCAAAAGGACAAAAAUAAACAAUCAUGUUCAGAGUAUGUGUGGAAUUAAGAUUAUUAUAAUAGUGACACAUAUCAUAGACAGAGAAUUGCAAUGCCGUGGUCAUAAUCAUACCCCAAGUUAAAAAAAAUAAUCCAAUGGCUUUCAUAUUCUAGCAACAUGUCAUGGUUCAAACAUCAUGUAACAAUGAGAGGAAAACAGCUAUGACAGCGCCUACUCAUAUUCUACCAUAGCACUUACUACUACUGUUCUCAUAUCAACUCUAAGCAAUAACAUGCGUUGUUAUAAAAAUCUUGUAAACAAGAGUAACAUAUAGCAAUCUUGAUGUUAUGCUCAUAAUAUGUACUCUAACAAUCAUUAGAUGCCAAUUGUUCUCAUAUCAACUCUAACAAUAACAUGUGUGGUCAUAAAAAUCUAGGAAAUGAGAGGAACACAUAGCAAUGAUGUGGUUAUAGACACGCUAUGCAUUCUAAAUUUGUAACAAAUGAACAAGUAGUCGUAUUCAUAAGGUAAAGAUGAGAUGAGAUAGAACAAUUACACAAUGAUAGAUUCCACCAGUAUAGGCAGCCAAUCUGUGCGUCAACCGCAUAAACGAUGCCAUCAUGCACUAUAACAUCAGACAAAAAUGUUGCCUCAACAGGAUUGAUGAUGAGCCAUAACCAUGUAUGGCGACCGGAUUCCAGAUAGACUAAUCCCAUGUUGAACAAGGCAAUGAGCUUGUAAUCCAUGUAGUCUUCUGAUGGUGUGGGCACUUCACAGAUUACAACUUUCUGUAAACAGAGGUCGAGCCAAAAGCUUGACGUGUCUCGUGCGUAGUAGGCAGGAGUGUCCGGCGGGCCGCGAGGCUCGAUAUUGGCGGUAUCCAACGAUGGAAGGGUGAUCUCCCGCUGGGUGUAGAUAUCCACGAGACGCCACGGACUACAGGUGUGGUGGAUGAGGACGAUCCAGUUGGCCUUCAUGCCCGCCCAGUAGUGGCCGCGCAUGAAGGACAGGUGGACGGGUAGUGGUAGCAUGUCGAGGGGCACCAGGGCAACCUCCGCAGGAUCAUCAAGUCGGUGCCUGGGCCACCUGCGAGGAUCGGGCAUCAGCAAGCAGGGUGUCUUGAAAAGAGCCGGCCGGUUGCAAACGAGUAGACGGUACAAAGACACCGAGCAUGCGGCCAGACGGACGGUGCUUAGUAGGUCCAUACGACUACAUAUCUGCUCCAAGAGAACAUCAGGGAGGGAAUUCCAAUCGCGGCUCUGCGUGUCAGUCGGUUCUGCCAUUGGGGUUUUCGGUGCCUGCGAGCCAGCGGGGAAGUGGAUUCGGGCGGGCGAGCGAAGAAGCUUCUCCUCGUGUGGCCGAGCAGUGAGUGGGGGGAUAUGGUACGCGCGAGCUACCAAGGAAGAUGGCACGGGCGGCCGAGCAGUGAGCGGGGGUAAAUGGUGUGCGCCCGACGAUGGGGAAGAGAGGAGGAAGAAGAGUGGAAGACGGGGAAGAAAGUGCAUUAAAUCUCAAUUCUACUAGUACUACUACCAGGAUAUAGGCACUGUCCUCCGGAGUGUAAAUAGUUACACCGAUGACAUGUGGGUCUACCACAAGAGGGCCCAUAUGUCAGUUAAUGGAGGACACAAGUGCGUAGGCGUAUUUGCGUAAGCGUGCUCUACUGGCAAACAUGAUGGUAGUACAGGGUAAGGCUGAUUUAGUAACACCAACACGCUGGUUUAGCUUAUUAAUUACGUGUCCCAUCUGCUGCAGCAUGUAUUGUCACUUCACUGCGAAGACUAGUUGAAUAGUUCUCUCUGACCGACAUGGGGAAUGAUGGAUUGCGAGGAUUACCUUUCUACAAUAUCCCUAUGCCUCUACGCUCACUUCAUUCAUUUUGCUCCGUACAUAGUCACUUGUUGAAAUCUGUAGAAAGACAAAUACUCCGUAUUUGGGAAUAGAGGGAGGCUUUUACUCCGUACUGGAGCAUUUGGGAACAGAGGGAGUAUCACCAUAUGGAGGGAACAAAGGAAGUUUGAAAUAUGAACAUGUCAAUGGGAGGGAGUAAGCCCCAUGCAUGCAUGCAUGCAUGCAACAUGCAACACUCACACGUACUCCACAUGGACGCACGCAACACUCACGCACCCAUGCGGCACACAGCACACGAUGCAACACACACGCUCACGCUCAAGUGCUCAACCUACUCCCUACGUCCGUGAAAGACUGCACAUUUAGAGAUUUACACAUUGACCAGGGUAUAAUUAACGCCCAAAAGUAGCAGACUUAUGUGUGCAUGUGGCCAUUGAGAUAAGAAGAUUAAAUGAAGGCCGUUGCAUGCUGUAAUUAAGGAUAGACAUGUAGCCCAUACCUACAGCACAAGUUCGUGCAUUAGUCAAUCAAUAUCGAUUUAGAUUAAAGGCUAAAUGCAUUGGAAGUGUAGAUGUACAUCAGGUACUACUACACUCUUUGUUUUAUAGCCGAUGUACACUCUUUGUUGGAAGGCCGAGGGAGGACACGUGCAUGCACUCACAUACAUAGCCAGAGCGGUUCGGGCGCAAGGGUUGGACUCGUGUGGCGCCUGUGUAAAGUUUUGUUUAACUGAUUUCUUUGCUCCGCCAACUGACAUGUGGGACCCAGAAACCAGGUGACAAUUUAACCAGUCAACAAAGUGCCACGUCGACUAUGUGGCCGGUCAGUAGGGUGCAAUACGGUGCUCUACGAUGAGCUAGUGAUCGUAUAAUCGAUGCAAAACUAUAUAUAGUGACCGUAAAGAGCGUAUUGUUACAUACGUUGACCGCCAGUGUAUUUUUCUCGUUUCAAAUUAAGCCAUAUUAAUCGGAAAGGACGCAAUAUGGACUACUACUAGUACUAGUACUGCUUUGAUGUGUCCCAUCAACUCGCCGAACGAGGAGAAGCUUGCUUACUAUGCCUCUCCCUCGCCCACGCGCGCGGUGGUUCGCAUGACGAGGAGAGGGUUUUGACUACAGCGCCCUCUCCCUCUUCCUCUCCCUCGCCCCCGCCCUCACGGUGGACGUGCAUCAGUUCAAUCAGUGUUAGAUUGCCAGACGCAUAUUGUACUGUAGUAUCAUCAUUGUUGGACCUUCCGAAGAGGCGAAGAGGCAAGUGCAAGGUUCACACGAGUACGAACUGUUGAACCUCCCGAAGAGGCAAAGAGCCAAGCGCAAGGUUUUAUAGGAGUUGUCGUCCUGCUUGUCGUCCUAGUAGGAGUGUACUACAACUAUAGCGAACGAUCCUACUGUAUGAUGCCGCCACGUCACGUAUAUCCAAAGUUGUGCCGCCUUUUUUUCUCAAAGAGCGUGUUGGAGCCCGUGCAACAACCACACAAGUUGCAUGUACACAUAACACAUUUACUAGUAAUAAAUUCUAAAGGACAAAUGCCAGUACGCCACACAAGUUCAUCUUCAAUUCAUGUGAUAAAUUUGUGCACGACUAGUCUAUAUAUAUUCACAUCGCUACCAUUCACAAUUACCGUACUCCACUUACACAUUAUAGAUGGGCUACAUGCAUGUCCUCCUCCAGGUUCCAGUCCCAGGUGUUCUUCAUGGAUGGCACAAUCCAUAGCGGUGGGCAACGGGAAUCAUUGUCGCAGCUUUCUAGUCCGGUUCCACACGAUGGAGACUCAUCCAAGCUGAAGCGGCAUAAAUUAGGGAUAGCGUGUCCCAGCAUGUCGUUCAUCCGGCGGUGCGCAAUGAAGACACAACCAUGCUUCAUGAACGGCAGGCCUUCCGUGUCCUGCACGGAAGGUGGCAUCCGCUUCACAAUGGGGUAGCUGUCCCUGAUGAAAAGCGAGUACUCUCCAAGAGUGUUCCUCGGCACCCACGUAGCAUCACGAGGGUCGAACUCGGCGCCGUUCAUCUGGUACACGCGGCAUCCCAGAUCUGGACACAUGGCGACGUACAUAGUCAAGGUCCAUGCAUAAUAAUGUUGUGCUCAAAUAUGGCGAUCAGUAAUACUGUGCAGAAAAUAGUACUACUCCGGUAUAGAGGAAGUAAAAUAACCGCUUAUUAUAUAUAGCCACUCUUGGCUACAUGGAUGAGAUAGCAAGACAUGGAAAAACAAAAAUGGUGACAGCUAGUGGGUUCAAGUCUUCAAGGGCCCAGCUAGCUAUACGCGUCCUCCAAGGUAAAAAGUACUCCUACUAGUAGUACUAACUAUACUACUAGUACCAUAAUGAAAGAGAAGGCGAGAGGGUUAAAAAAUGGAAUACCUGGGUAGAUGGCGAUGGUCCGAUCAUGGUAGAUUGUGUGACCAUGUUGCACAUCAGUGGUACCAUGGGUAACGACUGCUAAGAUAGUUGAUCCCAAUAUGCCAAAGUCAGCUACAAGGUUCCAGGUUAGACCGAAUCGCGGAUGCAAAUGCACAUCUAGGAUCGGCGAUCUUAUUUUGAUCGGGGGAUGACUGGUCCCUGCAAAAUAAUGGAGUACCAUUAGGGAUGCAAAUGAUGGUUUGUGCAUUCCGUUUGUAAUCUCCCGUACCGUAGGAUGGCAACCAGAUGAAACAAGUCCCCUGGCUUGUCACCGCGAAGAUGCAGCCUAGAUGGUGCAUGGCGUCUUCGAACGUGUUGGGGUACAAAUCUGCCGCUGCCAACAUGCGCCAGCAUUUGCCGUUACUGCGUCUUGCAUUGAUGGCAAUCCUUAUGUCGAACAUCGCGAUGAGAUAGUAAUCAUCGUAGCCGCGUCGCUUUGUCGGCGGGUCUGCAAUUGCUAUCUUCUUCAAUCUCAUGUAGGCAUCAUCAUAUGUAUUCAAGCCCAGCCAGUCCGGAAGGCCGAUCCCAAUGGUGGAGAAGGGGUCUACCGGAACGGCCGCAGUGCUGUGGAUGUUGUGCAAAAUGAUGGUGGUAUCCGGCCGGAGGUAUGCAAGCCAAUCUUCAUUGGCACCAACCCAGACCUAUAUAUAAGAUGGUGGGCAGCGGAGAAAUUACGGGAUGGAAAUGGAAUAACUAAGUACUACAUGAACAAACUCCAUUACUGACCUGCUCAUCGGACAAAAUCCGACUACCUCUCAACAUCGGCAACUCUAUCGGAGUCAAUGUGCAACCAUGGCCAGGGAGCGGUGGACUGUUCGAAGGAUUUUCCCAUAGAAGAACCUUCUCCUCGAGGGCGCAUGGAAGACCAACAAGCAUGGCCUUUUCCCAAACCUGUUUAAGCAGCGUCUUGAAAAAGUUGGUGCAGGAAGCACCGAGUCUUGCGGCGGUGAGGACGUCGGAGUGGCGUGCGAUUUCUCCCAAAGGAUCGUCGUCCAAGGUCUCCCAUCCCCGACGAGGAGGAGAACCGCCUGGCGAAUCCAUGGGAGCAGCGACGAACUGCCUUCUCUUCGGGGGGAGAGGAACUGGCGAGGAGGAGAUAAGAGCGUAGUAACCGCAGGGCCUCGUCCCUUCCAACUGUAGAUCGUUCCUCAGCGAAGGGGUGAGGCUAUUAUUUACUACUAGUACUAGCAUUAUGGAAUGUUAUGGGAUUGCAUUAUACUGUAAAUAAUAGCACUAGUAAGAAAAUUUUGGCACUAGGUAGUAGUUUUUGGCGUGGAUUAAGAAAUUUUGGGUAUGUUUUUGCCAUUUUUUGUACACGCCAACUAGUGUCAAAAAACGUCUUACAUUAUGUGACGGAGGAGUAUGUACUCGUACUGUAGCAGUACCAGUACUACUUUUCUCAACAACGAGUAUUAGUGCGAUGUACUGUACUUCUAGUCUAGUCUAGUCUAGUAUAGUGCACCAGUUUUGAACUCUUGAAUCUCAGGGCCAAGGAGCUACAAUUGAAAGUGGAGGGUACUACUGUUCUGUAGAACCAUCGCUGUACUAUCAAUGCAGGGGAAGUACACCUGCGUAGUGGCCUAGUGGGUACUCUCGGUGCUAUAUUUAGCCGCUCCUCUCACGUAGGAGUAGCUGGCCUACUCAGCCGCUCCUCUCACGCACACACUAGCAGCCUAUUUAUCAGCGAUGGUUACUGCGGUCUCGGGGGCAAAACAUUUGAGUUAUUUGAUAUAGCGAGACUAGGCUUUUCGCUUCCAUUUGUGGAGGUGUAAUGGAUCUCGUCGAACUUUGUUAGUAGUUCCUUCUUUAUGAAUGAGAUGAAGCAAAGCUUUUGCCUCCGUUUCAAAAAAAACACGUAAAGAGGAAUUUCUUUUAUAGUAGAGCCGAUAAUGGAGUGAAGUCCAUGCGUACAGAGUACUAGUAGUACAACACUUUACAUAGAGUACAGAGCCAUAUUGCACAGUUCCCAAUGCCCCGCCUGGCUUUUCUGGCUCCUCGGGCUUAAUUGGGAGGCGCUAGUUUAAAUAUGCUACUACUAGCUGAUGAGGAAGCUGCAAGCGAGGUGCGGCUAGGGCGAGCACGCGAGCCACGGGAUGCUGGGAAGGAAAACCCGUUCACGUGGCUAGGCUGUCCAGUGCACCCAGAUCGUUGGGCCGCACAUCCGUUUGACUUCAAAACUCAAACUACCAGUGUAAAAUAUUGGCUCGCAACGAAGUGUAGUACUAGUACUAUUUUUUUUUUAAAAAGGCCGCCAUGCGUUCGGCUGGGAUCGAACCCACAAAACGAGGUAUACACUCCCGCGACCACUAGUAGUACUCGUUGGAGUACAACGCAACCUAGAAUCGCCUUUUGUCGCUAGUAGUACGUACAUUGUUCCUUACAAGAAACCCCUAAUAAGGCAAGAAACCACUAAAAUGCCAAGAAACUACUACCACUUGCAUACGUGGCAGACUUAAGAUACGACUACCUUAUCAACCAUUGUACAUGCUCUUACCAACCAAAAUCCUCGGGUGACCUCCUACCUCCGGCCCGUCCACCUAGUCAUCCUCGGCCAUGGGACGCAGCUACCGCCGUCGGCACAAGGCGAGGUCAAAACCGCCGGCGGUGCGGAGCCCAUGUUGCGGCAGCCCGAAUGCCAGCUCCAUCCGGCGCUCGCGGACGCUAGCUAGCCAAGAUAGCUCCGUCCAGCUGCUUGUCUGCAAGGUUUGCUAGCUAGAUUGGCACUGCAGUGCGGCGGCUUGCUCGCGCGCGCCGCGCUCAGGCCAGCCAUCUGGCUCAAGCGAAGGCCAGCGCAGCGGCUUGCUCGCUCAUGAGUCACGCUCGGGCCAGCCUGCCAACCCGUGAAGAGGCCAGCGCGGCGUCCGGCCCGUCCGGCGCCACCGGCGCCACCAACGAACACGCAUCAGUACUGUUUGAAGUAAUGUUCAGGAAAAAUAAUGAUUUGAGGGGGAAUAACAGGAUAGAAGGUCAGAUGUGGUUCCCUCGUGUCAACGGUCAAACAAAAUGUGUUGGUUUAAGCUGCCUCAUCAGCACGGACGUGUGGGCCAACCCAGUCAUAAAUGGGCGUUUAAACGAACCUAAUCGGUAGGAGUACUAGGUAGUACUACCUCUCUCUCAGUUUACAUGGCGUGCGCGUACCCCUAGGUCGUCAAUUUGACCAACCUAAUACAAGUCAUAUAUUACAAAAAAUAUACCAACAUAAACUAUGGAGUUUCUACUUUCAAAAGGAAUAAUUUUUGUGCUAUAUAGUUUAUAUUAGGGUGAUAAAAUUGACAACCUAGGUAUACGCGCAAGACUUGUAAACUGAAACGGAGGUAGUAGAAGUUUUUGGCGUGGAUUAAGAAAUUUUGGGUAUGUUUUUUCUAUUUUUUUGUACAAUAGAUUCUUCCUAGGGCUGGUUGAAAGUGGUAGUUUUUUGUUAAUUGCUCUACAUAUUGUAAGUAGGAGUGUAAGUUAAGCUUUGGAAGCCAAUAAGCAAGGCUAGUUACAUAGUGCAUAUGUGUACAUGAUUGAAAGUAAAUAUCAACCAUGAGUGACUAAUAUCUUGAUGGAAUACUAGAAAAAAAAAUACAUGGUUGGAAAUACUAGCAAUGUUCAUGUCCGUUGCAACGAAUCAUAAUUAUAAUAAUACUUAUUCACAAACUUGGUACAAAACACCCUAAUUUUGAUAUACAUAUGUAUAUUAUGUUUCAAUUACAAUAUAUUCCUUGGGCUGUUUUGGUGAGGUUAGGGAGGGAUGUGGUUGGUUUUAAGAUACUAAUUAUGGGUUUUUCUGCAAAUUGGUAGACAAGUGGGAUGUUGGUGAGAAAAAGCAACAACUUACCUCACAAUCGUUAGAUGUAGAUCUAAUGGUCAGAAACGACGGAUGGCAGACACACCAGCAUCACCAACUUAGUCUUGUGUAGGAUUACUAGCAAGAUCCGUGUAUUAACGGAACAUCAAGAUGCAUUUUUUUAUAAAAACACUUGUUGUGAUUGACCCCUGCGGGACUAAUCCCAUGUGUAAAAACUAAUGAUAUCUCGAGAAAUAUGAGAUAAGGUGAAGAGGAGUUGGUUAUGGUGGUGGUUGGUGGUCGGACUGAGCGGAGGCAUGGGGAUUGACGACACCGGCAGCGGCCACUAGGCCAGUUUGUUCCAGAGGCUUCCUUUCUUAAUUGCUCAACAAUGAGGUUUGUUGGAGAUAAGGAUGAACAAGGGAAGGCCUUGUCUGCAAAUGUGGAGAGGGGUGCGGGUAUCUUUUAGUUUAAUUUCCAUCCGUCAGAUAUAGAUCAGACGGUCUAUAUUGCAAGAUGGCACACGUACCAUCAUCACCAACUCGGUUUUUUUAUAAAAGAAGAAAUAUAAAUAUGGAGAUACAAACGUAUUAUCGAUACUUGCUUCCAUAAACUAGCAUCUACAUUCUAUUCAACGCCUCGGCAUGUGGGGCCUUAGCACAAUGACUUCUCGACUGUGUAAAACAAAGAUUUUCCCGUCGCCGACAAGGAGGGGGUAACGGUGGCACGCUUUUUGGCUUGCUCUAGUCCUACUAGGUGGUGUAAGCACGUGUAGAUUUAUUCUUUUUCAUGUCUCGUGUUCGCCGUACUGCCACGACUGUUGAUGAAUAGACGGUAAGUUAUUCACGGGGAAACCCUUGUUGAGCGUGUUUGCGAGAGAGAGAGAGAGAGAGAGAGAGAGAGAGAGAGUGUGCGUGUGUGAUAUGUUAGAGACUGAGGCAAUGAUAGCAGAUUCUUUGUGUCUAUGUGUGUGGAGGAUAGAGAGAGACAUGUACAUGGGGCUUUGUGUUGUGUAACAUGGAGACACAUAUACAUAAUUAGAGAGUGAGUGUGUGAGAUACACAUGCGGACAUGGGGAGAGAUGAGGAUCCAGAUAAAUGGGUGUUUGUGCAUGUCUGUGUGUGUUUGUGCACGCGUUUGUGUGUGACAGGGAGAGAGUGUAUGUGGAGUAGAGAGACCACUGAUGAUGUAAACCUAGUAUAAGG